rnacentral:rRNA from 1 species
GUGCAAGAUGCGGCUUCCCUUAUUCAUGGCAAGUUCGAAGCGAAUGGGAUUUAAGAAGCUUGCUCCUUUAUGAAGUUAGCGGCGGACGGGUGAGUAACACGUGGGUAACCUGCCCAUAAGACUGGGAUAACUCCGGGAAACCGGGGCUAAUACCGGAUAACAUUUUGCACCGCAUGGUGCGAAAUUCAAAGGCGGCUUCGGCUGUCACUUAUGGAUGGACCCGCGUCGCAUUAGCUAGUUGGUGAGGUAACGGCUCACCAAGGCAACGAUGCGUAGCCGACCUGAGAGGGUGAUCGGCCACACUGGGACUGAGACACGGCCCAGACUCCUACGGGAGGCAGCAGUAGGGAAUCUUCCGCAAUGGACGAAAGUCUGACGGAGCAACGCCGCGUGAGUGAUGAAGGCUUUCGGGUCGUAAAACUCUGUUGUUAGGGAAGAACAAGUGCUAGUUGAAUAAGCUGGCACCUUGACGGUACCUAACCAGAAAGCCACGGCUAACUACGUGCCAGCAGCCGCGGUAAUACGUAGGUGGCAAGCGUUAUCCGGAAUUAUUGGGCGUAAAGCGCGCGCAGGUGGUUUCUUAAGUCUGAUGUGAAAGCCCACGGCUCAACCGUGGAGGGUCAUUGGAAACUGGGAGACUUGAGUGCAGAAGAGGAAAGUGGAAUUCCAUGUGUAGCGGUGAAAUGCGUAGAGAUAUGGAGGAACACCAGUGGCGAAGGCGACUUUCUGGUCUGUAACUGACACUGAGGCGCGAAAGCGUGGGGAGCAAACAGGAUUAGAUACUCUGGUAGUCCACGCCG